UAGAUUAUUAAUUUUUGGCUCUAUUAUGCACACACAUUUCCUUGCAAAUGUGUUUCUCCAUAACUGAGCUUUAGGCUCACAGGAGCCUGUCACCUAAUCAUGGAGGGAAAUCGAGUUGGUUUGGCAUGACUUGCCCUUGGUGAAUCCACGCUGACUGUUCCUGAUCUCUGCAAUCAUACUUCAGGUGCCUCAAAGUAGAUUCCAUGAUUUUUCUAGGGGUUGGGAAGGAGGAGAAGCAGCUGGCAGGGAAAACCCUAUGGUGGCAGUGACUGGGAGAAGAGGAACAGCUGGAAGGGAAGAGCCUACACUUAAUUUGCAUAUCUCCACUCUCCUGGUGGCACCCUUCAAAGGCUGUCACAGUACCCAGGGUGCCAUGGC